GGGAAAAUUAGUAUAUAUUAAAUUAAUAAAAAUAAUUUUAAUAAAAUAAAAUAUUAUAAUGGGGGUUAAAGUAUUUUAUAAAGAAAAAAUUAUUUAAUUUAUAAAAAAUUAGUAUUGUGAAAGAAAUUUGAAAUAAUUUUGAAAAUAAAUUAAUUGAAAAGUAAAUUUUAAUUAUUGUAUCUUGUGUAUCAGAGUUUAUUAAUUAAAUUUUUUAAAAAAAAAAUUCUCGAAUUUGAAAGAGUUAAUUAAUUAUAAAAUUUAUUGUAGCAAAAAUAUUUUUAAUAGUUAAUUAGAAAUGAAAUGUUAAUCGUUUUUAAAUAUAUCUAGUUUUUUCAGAAAAAAAUUUAAUUUUAAUUUAAUUUAAUUAAAAAAUUCAUUAAUAAAUUUUUUAAAAAUUAAAUUUAAUAUUUUAAGGGAUAAGCUUUAAUUUAAAUUUUUUAUAAAUAAUAAAAAUAAUUGAAGAAAAUUUUAAAAUUUAUAUUGUUUAAAAAUUAUAAUUUUUUAUAAAUAAUUUCAUUGAAAAUAAAAUUUAAUAUUAAAUUUUAAGUUUUUAUGAAAAAAUAAAAUUUAAUUAUUAAAUUUUAGUUAUAAUGAUAAAAUUAGUAUAUAAUAUAAUAUAUAACAUGUAAUUGAAAUAUAAUUAAAUUAAAUAUUAUGUUAAUUUAUUAUGUAAAAUUAAUUAUAAGGAAUUCGGCAAAAAUUUAUAUUCACUUGUUUAUCAAAAACAUGUCUUUUUGAAAUAAUUUAAAGUCUAAUCUGCCCACUGAUGAAAAUUAAAGGGCUGCAGUAUUUUGACUGUACAAAGGUAGCAUAAUCAUUAGUCUCUUAAUUGGUGACUUGUAUGAAGGAUUGGAUGAGAUAUAAGCUGUCUUAUUUUUAUUGAAUAGAAUUUAAUUUUUUAAUUAAAAAGUUAAAAUAUUUUUAAAAGACGAGAAGACCCUAUAGAGUUUAAUAUUUAUAUUGAUUAUAAAUUUUUUUAUUAAUAUGAAUUAAAUUUAAAUUAAUAUAAAUAUUUUGUUGGGGUGAUAGAAAAAUAAAAUUAACUUUUUUUAAAUACAUAUAUAUAUAUAUAUAUAUAUAUGUAUAUAUAUAUAUAUAUAUAUAUAUAUAUAUUAAACAUAUAUACAUGAAUAAAUGAUCCAUAAGUUAUGAUUAAAAGAUUAAAUUACCUUAGGGAUAACAGCGUAAUUUUUUUUUUUAGUUCAAAUAAAAAAAAAAGUUUGCGACCUCGAUGUUGGAUUAAGAUAAAAUUUAAAUGCAAAAGUUUAAAAUUUUGAUCUGUUCGAUCAUUAAAAUCUUACAUGAUCUGAGUUCAAACCGGUGUAAGCCAGGUUGGUUUCUAUCUUUAGAAAAAUAAAAUAUUUUAGUACGAAAGGAUCAAAUAUUUGAAAUAGUUUUUAUUAAAAGAAUUUUAUUAAAUUUUGUUAAAAUUUGA
rnacentral:rRNA from 15 species